CCUACGGGAGGCAGCAGUAAGGAAUAUUGGUCAAUGGAGGCAACUCUGAACCAGCCAUGCCGCGUGCAGGAAGACAGCCCUAUGGGUCGUAAACUGCUUUUAUACGGGAAUAAACUUUGAUUCGUGAAUCAAGCUGAAUGUACCGUAAGAAUAAGGAUCGGCUAACUCCGUGCCAGCAGCCGCGGUAAUACGGAGGAUCCAAGCGUUAUCCGGGUAUUUAUUGGGUUUAAAGGGAGCGUAGGCGGCCUAUUAAGUCAGGGGUGAAAGACGGUGGCUCAACCAUCGCAGUGCCUUUGAUACUGAUGGGGCUUGAAUAUAGUUGAGGUAGGCGGAAUGUGACAAGUAGCGGUGAAAUGCAUAGAUAUGUCACAGAACACCGAUUGCGAAGGCAGCUUACUAAGCUAUGAUUGACGCUGAGGCUCGAAAGCGUGGGGAUCAAACAGGAUUAGAUACCCUGGUAGUCCACGCCCUAAACGAUGAUAACUCGAUGUUGGCGAUAUACAGUCAGCGUCCAAGCGAAAGCGUUAAGUUAUCCACCUGGGGAGUUACGCCGCGAGGGUGAACUUCGAAGGAUUGACGG
rnacentral:rRNA from 1 species